AUAAGGUUAAGUUAAUAAGGGCGCACGGUGGAUGCCUUGGCACUAGGAGCCGAAGAAGGACGUGACAAACGACGAUAUGCCUUGGGUAGCUGUAAGUAAGCGAUGAUCCAGGGAUUUCCGAAUGGGGGAACCCAACAGGUACUACCUGUUACCC
rnacentral:rRNA from 2 species